rnacentral:pre_miRNA from 1 species
GGAAACUUGAAAAUUGGCGUUGGAUCGAAAAUGGACGUCCGAGAUUCGUCCAUGUCAUCACGAGUAAAAAUUUUACUCAAAAUUAAUUUUUUACUCUUGAUAACGUGGACGAAUAUCGAACGUCCAUUUCUCGAUCCAAUGGUAGUUUUUAAGUUUCC